rnacentral:rRNA from 1 species
AGAGUUUGAUCAUGGCUCAGAACGAACGUUAGCGGCGCUAACACAUGCAAGUCGCACGAGAAAGGGCUUCGGCCCCGGUACAGUGGCGCACGGGUGAGUAACACGUGGAUAAUCUUCCCUCGAGCGGGGGAUAACAUUCCGAAAGGAGUGCUAAUACCGCAUAAGACCACGGACUCGAAAGAGUCUGAGGUCAAAGCCGGCCUCUAUACAUAAGCUGGCACUUGAGGAUGAGUCCGCGGCCCAUCAGCUAGUUGGCAGGGUAAUGGCCUACCAAGGCGAAGACGGGUAGCUGGUCUGAGAGGAUGAUCAGCCACACUGGAACUGAGACACGGUCCAGACUCCUACGGGAGGCAGCAGUGGGGAAUCUUGCGCAAUGGGCGAAAGCCUGACGCAGCGACGCCGCGUGAGUGAUGAAGGCCUUCGGGUUGUAAAGCUCUGUGGAGAGGGACGAAUAAGUGCAGGCUAACACCUUGCAUGAUGACGGUACCUCCUUAGCAAGCACCGGCUAACUCUGUGCCAGCAGCCGCGGUAAGACAGAGGGUGCAAACGUUGUUCGGAAUUACUGGGCGUAAAGCGUGUGUAGGCGGCCAUGUAAGUCGGAUGUGAAAGCCCCGGGCUUAACCCGGGAAGUGCAUUCGAUACUGCGUGGCUUGAGUAUCGGAGAGGUUGGUGGAAUUCUCGGUGUAGAGGUGAAAUUCGUAGAUAUCGAGAGGAACACCGGUGGCGAAGGCGGCCAACUGGACGAAUACUGACGCUGAGACACGAAAGCGUGGGGAGCAAACAGGAUUAGAUACCCUAGUAGUCC